ACCCUUCAUUCACCUAAGCGUGCAACUUACUGAAGUCUGGAUUGUGCUUUGAUUUCAUGGCUUUAGGAAUGUCAGUGAUUAAGCAAUCGAUUAUCUGAGUGGUAAUGAUUGGAAGUUAUUGCAGUUAAGUAAUGCUAAGCCUUUGAGACAAGCAGGAGAUUCCAAAUGGAAUUCAUGGCUAAUAUCAGUGAGGCAGUCUACUGUGUAACGUAGUAUUUAUCACUUCCUUAGGAAGACAAAUGAUCUUUUCGGUUUGCAUAAAGUAUUACAUUUUUGAAAUUUAUAUAUCAUUUGUGUUUUCUAUAAUAAUACCAUAAAACAUUCCUAGAAUUUGA